AAGGCCUUUCUAUUUAGGGGAUAGAGAUGGU
rnacentral:piRNA from 1 species